GACGAACGCUGGCGGCGUGCUUAACACAUGCAAGUCGAACGGAAAGGCCCUGCUUUUGUGGGGUGCUCGAGUGGCGAACGGGUGAGUAACACGUGAGUAACCUGCCCUUGACUGUGGGAUAACAUCAGGAAACUGGGGCUAAUACCGGAUAGGAGCUCCUGCUGCACGGUGUGGGUUGGAAAGAUUCGGCGGUUGGGGAUGGACUCGCGGCUUAUCAGCUUGUUGGUGGAGUAGUUGCUUACCAAGGCUUUGACGGGUAGCCGGCCUGAGAGGGUUACCGGCCACAUGGGGCCUGCGAGACGGCCCAGACGCCUACGGGAGGCAGCAGUCGGGAGUAUUGCACAGUGAGCGGAAGCCUGAUGCAGCGACGCCGCGUGCGGGAUGACGGCCUUCGGGUUGUAAACCGCUGUCGCCUGUACCGAAGAGUGCGUGACGGUAAUGGGUAAAGAAGCACCGGCUAACUACGUG
rnacentral:rRNA from 1 species